UCUCUCGGGCGAGGAGCGACUGGAAGAGGCUCCCGUGACAGCCUGCGGUCCCUGCCCAGGCGAAGAGGCCGGAAAGAGAGGAGAUUCCCUUCUGAGAACGUUCACUGAGCGCCGAUGUGAAGGCCACGGCAUCGAGAGACUUGAUCAUUGGUUUAGGUGUACUCAGGAGACCAACAGCAAUAUCUUCUCUUUGUUCGACCCCUCCUGUGUCACAUGUAUGAUCGCAGAAGAGACCCUGUUUUUGGAAGAGAAACAGAACUGGCUUUCCAUUGAGGCAAAUGAGGGGGCUGCCCCAUGGCAGAGGCACACAGAAGGGUGGGAGAGGGACUCUCUCUUUCUUUGGAAUAGUCUGGUAAGUUACCAGUUCUAACUUGGCAUCUAGGACAUAUAAAUCAUGCAUUUACUUAUCCAGCAACCUUUUCUAAGCACCUUCUCUGUGUCAGGCCCUGUGCUAGGUGGAGCUGGAAGAUAUAGCUCACUUGCUUGUAAGGAACUUGAAGGCUGUGUGGGAGACAAAUGUAUAAACAAAAAAUUACAGUUCACCAUCUUAGUGUUCCAGAGGAAAGAAGCACUUAGUAUGAGGUACCAGGAAGAGGUGGGGAGAAGGGAGUGGCUUUACAUCCUUAAGCUCUGGGUGUUUGAAGAGCAGCCUUAGACACUAGCCAUGGAGGUGGGCUUGGGUAGGCCCCACCAUGGGGUUUGAAGACCCAAAAGAUGUUGGGUCAAGGAGGACAUGGGUGUCUAGUAUGGGAGUAAGCAGAAGGGUGAGCUCACUGAAGCACUGUUUUACCCACUGUACUACGUUUCUAUUGCUGCUAAAACAAAUUGCCACAAACUUAGUGCCUUAAAACAAGUGUGUUAUCUUCCAGUUCUGGAGGGCGGGAGUCUAACUCAGGUCUCCCUGGGCGAGAAUUGAGGUGUCAGCAGGACUGGGUUCCUUUCUGGAGGCUUUUGGGGAGCAUCCAUUUCUUUUUCUUGCCCAGCUUCUAGAGGCCACCUGCAUUCCUGAGUUCAUGGCUCCCUUCUGUCUUCAAAGCCAACAACAGCAGACACCCCAAGGGCCUGGCUUUGGUGACAGGGCUAUCUCAGCUACCCUUACCUAUCCCACUCACCUGUUGGUUGAGUUCAAGAAUUUGGGCAUCAGUCUCAUGGCCACCAUUUCGGGCUGAUGGAGGAUUCUUCCGGAGAAUGCAGGGGGGAGCCACGUUGCUCAGCCGGCCAGAGGUCUGCAUGUUUUUUGGGCCUGUGGGGGAUGUCCUCUGUGGAACUGCCCAGAGGAAAAGAGUCAGGACUCAGACAAAGCCUCGUCUCUAGAGACUCAUCUUUCGAGGACUUAGGACUGUUGGGCCUUUGGAGUGGGGGAAGGUGUGAUCCAGCUUGGUAACUCCUGCCCCUGGCCAUCCAGUGGGCAGGGGGCAAGAAGGGGCUGUGGUGCUGGCACCAGGCUCUUGGCCUGGAUGCAUCUGGGCGGAGAAACCAAGUCACCUUGCUGCCCCACCAUCUUGAGGCAAACAAGUAAGCUCGUGCUACGAAAAAAAGUGUCUUGGGCCUCCUACCCCAGCUGCCACCAUGGCUGGUGCUGGUGGCUCUCCUCUUGGAGCAAUUUGUGGAGCUCUCUCACCCACUACUUUCACUCCCCCGGUCUAAGCGGCCAGCAGGCGGCGUCAUCCGAACUCCGUGAUAACAAGUCUCCUCCAGGCUGGCAGGGCCGGGCCGUGGCCCAGGGGGCAUUCCUGGCUGUAGAGGCCUGCCGGCCCGGCCCCCCAUGCUCCCUCCCCCGGCUCGGGCACGUUACCUGCUGUGCCAAUGAGUUUCUUGGAUUUGUUGAAGAUCUGAUCACCUGGGUUAGGAGGUGGCGCUACGUCCUGGCCCUGCCGCGCCAGCAGAGGGUUGUAAUCCUUUCCAUCAUAGUUUGCGUCAAAGAAUUUCUUAAACCACUGAAUAAACUCAAAAUUAUCUUGGAA